rnacentral:rRNA from 1 species
GAUGAACGCUGGCGGCGCGCCUAACACAUGCAAGUCGAACGGCACCCCUCCUCGGAGGGAAGCGAGUGGCGAACGGCUGAGUAACACGUGGAGAACCUGCCCCCUCCCCCGGGAUAGCCGCCCGAAAGGACGGGUAAUACCGGAUACCCCGGGGUGCCGCAUGGCACCCCGGCUAAAGCCCCGACGGGAGGGGAUGGCUCCGCGGCCCAUCAGGUAGACGGCGGGGUGACGGCCCACCGUGCCGACAACGGGUAGCCGGGUUGAGAGACCGACCGGCCAGGUUGGGACUGAGGCACGGCCCCGACUCCCUCGGGAGGGCGCAGGGGGGAAUCUUGCGCAAUGGGGGGAACCCUGACGCAGCGACGCCGCGUGCGGGACGGAGGCCUUCGGGUCGUAAACCGCUUUCAGCAGGGAAGAGUCAAGACUGUACCUGCAGAAGAAGCCCCGGCUAACUACGUG